rnacentral:tRNA from 1 species
AAGAAGUUAGUUUAAUAAUAAAACAAUUAUUUGUCAAAUAAAAAAUAUAAUAAAUUUUUAUACCUCUUG